CACCUGCAGGAUAUAACAUAUCUAGCCAGAGGGAAAAAAUUCGUUACCAUCGAGGUACACCUAAAAACAUUGAAACUGCACAAUUACACUCAGUAAAAUCCUUGGAAACAGAAGAUGUAAUUUUAAUACUAAUAUACAUGGGUGUGAAGACAUCCAAAAUACGAAUACCAAAGGUCCUCCUCAAGUCGACCCUAUGUGGUUGAUGGCGGCAGUCCUGGCAAAGGAGAUAGAUG